ACCCGAAAGAAAUGGCUCCUACUUGUAUGACAUGGGUCGACUGACACCGGGAUUCCACCUUUUGAAGCAAUACCCAACAAGAGAAAGAUUUUCAAUGCUUGAUUUCCAAGACACAAUGGACAACCCGAAAGAAAUGGCUCUUACUUGUAUGACAUGGGUCGACUGACACCGGGAUUCCACCUUUUGAAGCAAUACCCAACAAGAGAAAGAUUUUCAAUGCUUGAUUUCCAAGACACAAUGGACAACCCGAAAGAAAUGGCUCCUACUUGUAUGACAUGGGUCGACUGACACCGGGAUUCCACCUUUUGAAGCAAUACCCAACAAGAGAAAGAUUUUCAAUGCUUGAUUUCCAAGACACAAUGGACAACCCGAAAGAAAUGGCUCUUACUUGUAUGACAUGGGUCGACUGACACCGGGAUUCCACCUUUUGAAGCAAUACCCAACAAGAGAAAGAUUUUCAAUGCUUGAUUUCCAAGACACAAUGGUAUUUUACACUCACACUGACCAUAUUAAAAUACAACGAUUGGUAAUUGCCCGGAAAGCAGCAAAUUCUUGUUUCGAAUUCCGACUGUCAAGUAUUCUUUUCUUCGUGCUGUCCGAUGCGAACCACAGUGGAGAAUGACCAUGAAAUUUUACACUCACACUGACCAUAUUAAAAUACAACGAUUGGUAAUAGACAAAAUGGUGGAAGCAUAAAGACCGUCCUCGAUGCAAUCAACAAAUUGUUUCGAAACCGACAAUAGUGGAUGCACACUGAUGUGCAGUGAAAUUUCGUUAGGCCGCUACAACGUUAGCUUGAAGUAUAUCUGGAUAUACUAUAUGUAGUGUAAAUUCUGCCUGUUUAUGCCGUGACAUAUUAUGUAAUUAUGUAAGCAAUGGACUUGCCAUCGAGCCAAUGAUGAACCAUGUUUGAUGUGAUGCAGUAUACCUCUGUGAAAGCUGGUAGCAGUUAUAACAACAAGAACUAUUUUGUUUUUACAAGUGAAAUGUAUUGUGCACUGAUAAGCAAUAAUAUACUUUACUUUGGGGCCAUUCCUACCAAUUUGAAUUGUUGCAUAGAACGUAAUGGGAUGUUGGUCUCAAAGUACCUAUUAGGAACCCCCAAAUAACGAGGGUUUUUUUCGCAUCACCACUGGUAUAUAUUGUUUUGAACCGCGAACGGCUUUAGCCGUGAAGCUCUGUGAUAUUUAGAAGCGACAAAUGCGAACCAAAUGUUAGAAAUUACUAUCCCUGGCCAAUAUCAAUGCGAAAGUUGUUGGGUGUUUAAAAAUGAACUUUGUAUUGACUAUAUUUAAUUUCUUGUCUGUGCCAAAUGAAUUACAAAAUUAUGUCAUUUUCUGUUGAGAUGACUGCUUUUUUUAAAAACAGAUUGGAAUUAAUAAAUAUGCUUGGUAGAGUUAUCUGCCCUUUUCAUGAAAGCUGGCAGCAGUUAUAACAACAAGAACUAUUUUUGUUUUUACAAGUGAAAUGUAUUGUGCACUGAUGGGCAAUAAUAUACUUUACAAAUUUGAAUUGUUUUCUGGAGUACUUAGGCCUGUCUUUCUUAAAAUGUCAGUGUUUUUUGUGGGCAGAUAGAAUAGAAUGAAAACUUGCUGUUGAGAUAGAAAGAUAUACUGCUUGUUGCAUUGCACGUAAUCGUAUGUUGGGCUCAAAGUACCUAUUAGGACCCCCCCAAAUAACGAGGGUUUUUUUCGCAUCACCACUGGUAUAUAUUGUUUUGAACCGCGAACGGCUUUAGCCGUGAAGCUCUGUGAUAUAUAGAAGCGACAAAUGCGAACCAAAUGUUAGAAAUUACUAUCCCUGGCCAAUAUCAAUGCGAAAGUUGUUGGGUGUUUAAAAAUGAACUUUGUAUUGACUAUAUUUAAUUUCUUGUCUGUGCCAAAUGAAUUACAAAAUUAUGUCAUUUUCUGUUGAGAUGACUGCUUUUUUUAAAAACAGAUUGGAAUUAAUAAAUAUGCUUGGUAGAGUUAUCUGCCCUUUUCAUGAAAGCUGGCAGCAGUUAUAACAACAAGAACUAUUUUUGUUUUUACAAGUGAAAUGUAUUGUGCACUGAUGGGCAAUAAUAUACUUUACAAAUUUGAAUUGUUUUCUGGAGUACUUAGGCCUGUCUUUCUUAAAAUGUCAGUGUUUUUUUGUGGGCAGAUAGAAUAGAAUGAAAACUUGCUGUUGAGAUAGAAAGAUAUACUGCUUGUUGCAUUGCACGUAAUCGUAUGUUAGGUUCAAAGUACCUAUUAGGACCCCCCCCAAAUAACGAGGGUUUUUUUCGCAUCACCACUGGUAUAUAUUGUUUUGAACCGCGAACGGCUUUAGCCGUGAAGCUCUGUGAUAUUUAGAAGCGACAAAUGCGAACCAAAUGUUAGAAAUUACUAUCCCUGGCCAAUAUCAAUGCGAAAGUUGUUGGGUGUUUAAAAAUGAACUUUGUAUUGACUAUAUUUAAUUUCUUGUCUGUGCCAAAUGAAUUACAAAAUUAUGUCAUUUUCUGUUGAGAUGAUUGCUUUUUUUUAAAAACAGAUUGGAAUUAAUAAAUAUGCUUGGUAGAGUUAUCUGCCCUUUUCAUGAAAGCUGGCAGCAGUUAUAACAACAAGAACUAUUUUGUUUUUACAAGUGAAAUGUAUUGUGCACUGAUGAGCAAUGAUAUACUUUACAAAUUUGAAUUGUUUUCCGGAGUACUUAGGCCUGUCUUUCUUAAAAUGUCAGUGUUUUUUUGUGGGUAGAUAGAAUAGAAUGAAAACUUGCUGUUGAGAUAGAAAGGUAUACUGCUUGUUGCAUUGCACGUAAUCGUAUGUUAGGUUCAAAGUACCUAUUAGGACCCCCCCAAAUAACGAGGGUUUUUUUCGCAUCACCACUGGUAUAUAUUGUUUUGAACCGCGAACGGCUUUAGCCGUGAAGCUCUGUGAUAUUUAGAAGCGACAAAUGCGAACCAAAUGUUAGAAAUUACUAUCCCUGGCCAAUAUCAAUGCGAAAGUUGUUGGGUGUUUAAAAAUGAACUUUGUAUCGACUAUAUUUAAUUUCUUGUCUGUGCCAAAUGAAUUACAAAAUUGUGUCAUUUUCUGUUGAGAUCACUGUUUUUUUUUUUUUUACACAGAUUGGAAUGAAUAAAUAUUGUUAAUAGAG